rnacentral:rRNA from 1 species
AUGGCUGUCGUCAGCUCGUGUCGUGAGAUGUUCGGUUAAGUCCGGCAACGAGCGCAACCCACAUCCCUAGUUGCCAGCAGUUCGGCUGGGCACUCUAUGGAAACUGCCCGUGAUAAGCGGGAGGAAGGUGUGGAUGACGUCAAGUCCUCAUGGCCCUUACGGGUUGGGCUACACACGUGCUACAAUGGCAGUGACAAUGGGUUAAUCCCAAAAAACUGUCUCAGUUCGGAUUGGGGUCUGCAACUCGACCCCAUGAAGUCGGAAUCGCUAGUAAUCGCGUAACAGCAUGACGCGGUGAAUACGUUCCCGGGCCUUGUACACACCGCCCGUGGGGCGGGGGCGGCGGGCCGGGCGCGGGGCGCGGCGGGCG